CUUUAAUAACCCCAUUAUUUGUGUAAAAUUACAAUCUUCCAACUUUAAUAGGUUCUGAGCAAUUCGAAUUUUCGCGUUUAAUUCAUUUGUCACGUCCCUGUACAUGGUGAAAAGAUCAGACAUCAUCUAAAAGAUCCGAAAUUUUGUUUUACAACACAUACUAAAAUUUCAGGGUUCCAGCGAUAGUACAAGUACCCGAAAAAUGCGAUUUUAUGAAAAAAGUCCAUUUUUUUGCGUUUUUGCAGGUAAUUGGAGGUGUCAACCUAAACUCUGAUGAAAUGGCUGGUGGGAACAAUACUUUGACGCAUGGUGGGUACAAAUUUUUUGCUCGUGACAGGUGGCCGGGACUUGGUUGGGUUUUUUGUAAAAUUAUGAAUGAAAAUGAACCGGAAACGAUCAGGGAAAGGAAGCACCGAAUCAGAAAAUGAAUGGGCUUUCCGAAUCUGUGCAUAUCAAUUGGGGAAAUUGUGUAUUGCGGCCAGGAAAAUUCGGCAAACAUUUUGACGUCUUCGAAAAAUGCCGUUUUUUUGAAAAGUCAGUGGUUUUAUACCGGGGUGAGACGAAAUGAAAUUUGCCCUAUUAUUUUAUUAAAAUUAUUCGAAUAUAUACACGGGUCAGUCGUAAUGAUCUAUUUAAUUUAAAAUAAGAAUUUAGAUAUUUGGUGAGUUUUUACUAUUUAGUUUAUUAUUAAUAAAUGUUAACAAUUCUUAAACAUUGCUUUUGGGU